CCCCCGCGCGCGGACUCAGGAUGCAGGUGCUGGGAAGCAGCCACGUGUGGAUCCGGAAGGUCUGCUCAGUUAAUGACCUCACUGUCCAAACCGCAGUAACUAUUGAACUGAAACCCACAGCCUUCAUGCUAACAGGGAUCCAUGCCUUUGUUUUUCGCACCUUUUUAUUGUAGUGCUUUCCCUGCAUGCAAAUGAGAUUCUUAAGGAAAACUUCGCAUGAUUUUCUUGAGGAGAAAAGCCUUGAGGUGUCACGCUGUAAAAGUGCAGUGGAAGAGCGGAUCGCAGCUGGUGUUCAGCAGCACCGGGUCCACCCCUGACUGGCACUGUGGGCACUCCUCCAGCUUGCAGAAGGUGAUGUUCAUGAUGUUUUCCUGCAGCGUGAGCACGUCCACGGCGCCCACCGCCUUGUCCACAUAGAAGGCGCUCAGCCGCCGCCAGUCCACGCUCUCCAGCCGCGGUCGGAACAGGAAGAAGGGCAGGGGGCCUGAAGCCGCGCUGGGCGGGACACAGGCCAUGGCGGCCCCACCUGCCGCGGUGGCUGCCAAGGUCUAUGUGCUGUGGUCUCCAUCCACUGGGCUGCAGGAUCCGCGGGAACAAGGGCCGUGGUUUCUCUUGCUCACUGUUCCACCCCCACACACCCCCGGCACCCCAGCUGCGCGCUCCUGGGCGGGCGCCCGGCGCUGCAGGCGGAUGGGGGCGAGGCUGGGGACGCAGAUCCCGGGGCGCUGCUUGGAGGCCGAAGAACAGUCGAGGGGGAAGCGGCGGGCCAGCUCUCCUUUCAGGGCACAGGAUGAGGACUGUCUGUUUUGGGCAAGUUGUGAGGAGGAGAGCCGCCAGGUGCUUCUCUGGGCCGUCCCAGAUUUUAGGCUGUGGCGCCUCGGGAUCCCCCUCUCUGCUCCCGCCUGCCUCCCCUCCGCGAUCUCGCUCCCACCUCUUCUCUCUGCUUCCCAGCUCCUCUGGAUUUUUCUAAUGUCAAAAAGGCUUUUUGUACUGAAUUUUCUUGUUCUUUCUGGUCAGGGCCUAUGCAUCAGAGUUCCACAGAACAGAGACUGAAAUGCCUUGACAUGCACGUGGGAGCACAGAUCUUGCUCUUGAAUAAGUUUGGGAUGUUACACAGCAACCAAAUUUCAAUAGGCUUCUGUAGUGCAGAAGUUCUUUAAAACGUUCUUGUGCAACCUUGGCCGCAAAAGCAUCAUUUAAGAGGCAAUUUCCCUAACUUACCUCAUGAUGAAACCUGUUUCGCUGGGCAUCCCUAUAAAGAUCUUCUUCAGCAGCUCAGUAGACCACUUGGGAAAACACUUCUCUUCCUGGAGUCAUGGACUUAAAUAAAAGGUCCCUUUAAAAAUAUGACUUUAAUUUAAGGCCCAAGAAAAUGAGACUACUCUAUUUAGGACCGCAUGAUUUUGUCACUCUCCUAACCAGAAACAUUGGGGGCGCCCUGACCCCCAGCACUUCCAGCCUCACCCCCGCCUGGCAGCUCUCCCCAAACCUGCCCAGGGUCUCUUUCUGCCUGGUCAGAUUUAUUCUAUAAGAAACACUGACCUCUGCAAUUAGCAAAGCAGGCACCAGCAAACGUCAUAGCAAAUCAGAUGGAAACCAAUUUUUAAAAUAUGCAUAGAGUGACUGCGUCUUGAGAAAUGCAUUAGUAAAAUCCAAGAACUCUCUGUAAUUAGUAGUAAAAACCCUAGACAGCUGAAAAGCAGAGUUGUCAAUAAUUGACCAAGAAAUUACAAAUACAAAUUAACUGAAAACUUCUAUUGAUUACCUACUGAAUGCAGAUUCAAAUAUGGAAAAAUUAAGGUUCUGCUCUUGAGGAACCUACAGACUGUGAUUAGAAAAGUAUUGCACAAAGUUUUAAAGACAGCACACCUAUAGCGCCAGGGCAGACUAUGGACUCCCAUCAAAUUCCCAGUGAGUAGGGCUGCUGGGUAAUUUCAGGCAGAGAGCAAGAACAGACAGAGGGCAGGAAGGAUGCAGUGGGCUGCGGGGCCAUGGCUGGGCGCAGAGGUCACUGGGAGAUUCAGUGGAGCUGGGGGGGCCCGAGUAUCCGCUUGCCAGGCUUAGGCUGCAGCAGGGGUUGGGCUGGAUCCGGUGUAUUCCUGCCCUGUAAGCUUGUGCAUAGUGGGAACCAUGAGCAGUAUUCUUUUAUUUUGUUUCAUUUUUUCAUUUCUGUGUUACAUUUAGAAUGAGAAAAAAUGAACUUUAAAAAUAAUAGAGAUAUGCAAAUAACUCUAGUCUCUCCUACCAGGUAGAUAUUAAAUCACCUCCCC
ensembl:lncRNA